rnacentral:rRNA from 1 species
ACCCGCACAAGCGGUGGAUGAUGUGGUUUAAUUCGAUGCAACGCGAAAACCUUACCCACCUUUGACAUGUACGGAACCCUUUAGAGAUAGAGGGGUGCUCGAAGGAGAGCCGUAACACAGGUGCUGCAUGGCUGUCGUCAGCUCGUGUCGUGAGAUGUUGGGUUAAGUCCCGCAACGAGCGCAACCCUUGUCAUUAGUUGCUACAUUCAGUUGGGCACUCUAAUGAGACUGCCGGUGACAAGCCGGAGGAAGGUGGGGAUGACGUCAAGUCCUCAUGGCCUUUAUGACCAGGGCUACACACGUACUACAAUGGCCGGUACAAAGGGCAGCGACACAGCGAUGUGAAGCCAAUCCCGAAAAGCCGGUCUCAGUCCGGAUUGGAGUCUGCAACUCGACUCCAUGAAGUUGGAAUCGCUAGUAAUCGCGGAUCAGCACGCCGCGGUGAAUACGUUCCCGGGCCUU